rnacentral:rRNA from 1 species
AUUGAACGCUGGCGGCAUGCCUUACACAUGCAAGUCGAACGGCAGCGGACCUUCGGGUGCCGGCGAGUGGCGAACGGGUGAGUAAUAUAUCGGAACGUACCUUUCAGUGGGGGAUAACGUAGCGAAAGUUACGCUAAUACCGCAUAUUCUGUGAGCAGGAAAGCAGGGGAUCGCAAGACCUUGCGCUGAUUGAGCGGCCGAUAUCAGAUUAGCUAGUUGGUGAGGUAAAGGCUCACCAAGGCGACGAUCUGUAGCGGGUCUGAGAGGAUGAUCCGCCACACUGGAACUGAGACACGGUCCAGACUCCUACGGGAGGCAGCAGUGGGAAUUUUGGACAAUGGGCGCAAGCCUGAUCCAGCCAUGCCGCGUGAGUGAAGAAGGCCUCGGUUGUAAGU